CUGAGGAGUAACAUAUGUGAAGCCCUGUGAAACCUUAUAGUCACCUGUCACCUGAACUGACAGCUGUGAUUAGGCUGGGCUGGGAGAUGAAGUGGAGGGAGGUCUAGUUUGCAGCCACUUGUUUGCAGUGGGAUCGCAUUUGUUUACAGCCACUCACAGCCUGCUACCCACCAUGGCCAAGCACACUUUCUCAGUCAUUUUGGUCUGAAUGCUUCUUUUCCACUCACAAGAUUCACUGAGUGCAUCUUUUGAGAGCUGCAAGUGUCCUUAAUUCACACUAUUUCCCGCAUUUC